AGCAGCCGCGGUAAUUCCAGCUCCAAUAGCGUAUAUUAAAGUUGUUGCAGUUAAAAAGCUCGUAGUUGAAUUUCGGAAUCAAUGGAUCGGUCAUGCCACUCGGUGUGUACUGGUUUGAUUGGUUCUCACCUUCUAAGGAACCGUGAUGUCAUUAAUUUGGUGUCGCGGGGAAUUAGGACUGUUACCUUGAAAAAUUAGAGUGUUUAAAGCAAGCUCACGCUUGAAUACAUUAGCAUGGAAUAAUGAAAUAGGACAUUGUAUUCUAUUUUGUUGGUUUCUAGGAUCGAUGUAAUGAUUAAUAGGGAUAGUUGGGGGCAUUAGUAUUCAAUUGUCAGAGGUGAAAUUCUUGGAUUUAUUGAAGACUAACUACUGCGAAAGCAUUUGCCAAGGAUGUUUUCAUUAAUCAAGAACGAAAGUUAGGGGAUCGAAGACGAUCAGAUACCGUCGUAGUCUUAACCAUAAACUAUGCCGACUAGGGAUCGGAUGAUGUUAAUUUUUAAUGACUCU
rnacentral:rRNA from 1 species